GAUGAACGCUGGUGGCGUGCCUAACACAUGCAAGUCGAGCGAUUCUCUUCGGAGAAGAGCGGCGGACGGGUGAGUAACGCGUGGGUAACCUGCCCUGUACACACGGAUAACAUACCGAAUGGUAUGCUAAUACGAGAUAACAUGCUUUUAUCGCAUGGUAGAAGUAUCAAAGCUUUUGCGGUACAGGAUGGACCCGCGUCUGAUUAGCUAGUUGGUGAGGUAACGGCUCACCAAGGCGACGAUCAGUAGCCGACCUGAGAGGGUGAUCGGCCACAUUGGAACUGAGACACGGUCCAAACUCCUACGGGAGGCAGCAGUGGGGAAUAUUGCACAAUGGGCGAAAGCCUGAUGCAGCAACGCCGCGUGAGCGAUGAAGGCCUUCGGGUCGUAAAGCUCUGUCCUCAAGGAAGAUAAUGACGGUACUUGAGGAGGAAGCCCCGGCUAACUACGUG
rnacentral:rRNA from 1 species